ensembl:rRNA 5S_rRNA 5S ribosomal RNA
GUCUACGGCCAUACCACCCUGAACACGCCCGAUCUCAUCUGAUCUUGGAAGCUAAGCCAGGUCAGGCCUGGCUAGUACUUGGAUGGGAGAAGUCUCACAUGAUGAAGACAGUCUUCGUUAAUU